AGUGGACUAUGGGGCCAGCAAUGCAAAUCCUCGAUGACGGCCAAGGAGAAUUGUGCUUUGCGCUGCCUUUCUCCGACUUGUUAUGAGCUUAUUUACGAGAGCGAUCCGCUCGAAGAAGGUGAGAAAGAUCUCGUUCGAAGCCAAGAGUACAAGUACUGUAUGUAUAAGUAAGUUCAACAUCAAGCUCUUUAUCAGAAAGUGUUUUCCAUGUGGAAAUAUGUGUCUGUAUGGAGGGUGAGUUUAAAUCGGUGGGUAAUGAACCUGGGGCAUAUGAUAAUCAUGGAAUUAUAAUGGGUAUGUGUGUGUGUAUUGAACUGAUAGUAUUUGAAUUCGAUCGAAGAAAUCAAACAUGAAAGUAAUAUGGCAUGGCAUAGAUAUGGUUGUAGCUGUAGUAUGUAUUAUAAAUGAUUGGACCAGUUAUCUCUAUUGAGACUCAUUAGUGAGGGAGUGAGGGAGGUUGGAUGAGGAAGUUUUCUUCCCUGGUACUCUUUGUGGUUGAUAAUUGCCUAUGUAAUGUAAGUUGGUGACAUUUGAAAGUGGCUAUGUGGGAUAAUUUGAAGGGUAAUUUAGAUGUCUUUAAUGUGAGCUUAAAUUGAUUGUGUUGGGUGAAUGGGAUGGAGGACAAACAAUAUAGGGAUGGGGACUCAUUUCUGAAGGGGAAAAAACAAUAUCAAGAAAAUUGGUUUUUGAUAAGUUUGGAGAACAAUUAAUUGUACAAGGUCUAAACUGUUGUAGAAUGAUGUCAGUUUGUGUGACUUUUUGCUAGGUUGUUCUGACUUGCAAAGAGCUUAGUCAGGUGUAUGAGUUUAAGCUGAUGGUGGAAGAGAAUUUGACAUCUCAUGUGAUUAAUCAUCUAACCAUACCCCUCUAAGGAGAACCACCCUUUAGCAGUUUUGCAAGGGAUGAAGAGAGAAAAGGAUCUCAUUAUGGAAAAUUAUCAUUAUAUACUUAGAUGAAUCCUUUACUAUACCACUGGUUUGGCAGAGAUUAGCUUAACAAUCCAUAUUUUCUCACGUGUUUGUCACUAUAGUUGGAGAAGUAAAAUAUCAAUUAUGUCACCCAAUUGCUUAGGGCAGAAGUGAACGUGUAUGAAUGCUCAAAAGUUUUUUCUUUCAUUUAUUAUUGGGCUUUUGGAAUAUAUCUUUCUUCCAUAUAUAGAAUUUGGAUUAGUAUUUUACUCUGGAACAUAUAAGCUUUGCAAAUGUGUCCAAAUCCAAGAGCUAAGUUAGCAUUAACUUAAGAUUUAAUUAUGGCAUCAUUACUCAAUUCAAUCCUUUUAUUUGAUUCUGUUUAAUAACCGAUAUAUUUCCCCUUUAUAAGGCCUGAAAUAUUCAUAGAAAACUAGCCCGGCGUAGAUAACUCUAGAUGUGUCUUCAUACCCCAACAUGUUCUGAAAUCUUCACUUGACAAAAUAUAAUUCACAACAGUAAACGAUUAUUUUAAUAUGAGUGAUUUUCUCUCUUUCUCUUCCUCAUCAAUCUACAAGAAUCAAUGUAAAAGAAUAACCUAUAGGUCCACUUACUCAGUUUCCAAACUAUAGAUAUAAGUUGAUAUGCUUUCGCCACUAGAAUACCUGUAAGUUGCUUUGUUAAAUGGCUCAGUUAGGCCAAGUUGAGCGUGGGAAAGUGAGAUCCUAUCUGAUCAGAUUAGAAGUUAUAGAAAUGUAUUAUCGUUCGGAAUGAAGGUUUGUGUUGACAAUGGAUUAUUGUUUCAUGAAGCGUGCAUAAGUAUGCCUGAGUCAACUGUGAGUAACUGAGAGUGGGAGUAGAAGGUGAGAUUUUUUUGUGCAUGUGGAAUUUGUGUAGUAUCUGAGAGGUACAGAUUUGUUACUAUUCCCCAUUCCUAAAACAAUUGAUCAACAUCUUGAGACAUGUUAUCAUUAGUGUUGGCGCAAAGUAAAUCAUUGUUUGACUUGAAUAACUUUCUUAUUGGCAUCCAAAAUUGGAAGAUUAAUCUUAGGAAUUUAAAAAAAAAAAUUAAUAGAUUUUUCUUUCAUUCUCACGCAUUUUUUGUCCUGUUCUUAUUUAAAGCCAGUUUCCUCAUUUUGAAGUCGAGUAUUUUGUCUGCUUUCUUUCAUCAUAUAUAUAUAUAUAUAAUUCCUCACAAAAUUAAUCUCAUUUCCAUUGGCUUCUCUGCAGGGCAUCUCUUGGAGAAUCCCUUGAAGGUAUUAAGGGAGCCUUUGAAUAUUAAAUUAAAUUAAACCACAGAAUUUUAGUUAGAAUUUAGGUUCAUUUCGUUGUAAAAUAUGUUAAAGAUGAAAAUUCUCGUAAUUUCCAGUGUGGAAAAUAAUAUUUACUGUGGCUGUGAACUCCACCUUUGCCUUUGUCUUGCACUGGUAUGUAGUGUGUUGACAAAAUUUCUCUAGCUGGCUUAGAGAUUCAAAUUGGUUCCAGACAAAUGUACUCCAAUGAAUGGAAGGGGUUGAUUU
rnacentral:misc_RNA from 1 species